AAAAAUCCGUUGUAUAAUCCGAAGACGUGAUGUGGAGCGAAAUAAAGUAGUGAAGCGUGUGAGCCAUGUGCCGAGAAAAGCUGCUAUUGUGUAAUGCGUGCCCGUACCGUAAACCGACACAGGUGGAUGAGGAGAGAAUCCUAAGGCCGACGGAAGAAGCAUUGUUAAGGAAUUCGGCAAAAUGACCCCGUAACUUCGGGAGAAGGGGUGCCUGCGAGAGCAGGCCGCAGAGAAUAGGCUCAAGCAACUGUUUAGCAAAAACACAGGUCUAUGCGAAACCGAAAGGUGAAGUAUAUGGGCUGACGCCUGCCCGGUGCUGGAAGGUUAAGAGGAGAGGUUAGCGUAAGCGAAGCCUUGAAUUUAAGCCCCAGUAAACGGCGGCCGUAACGAUAACGGUCCUAAGGUAGCGAAAUUCCUUGUCGGGUAAGUUCCGACCCGCACGAAAGGCGUAAUGAUUUGAGCACUGUCUCGACAAUGCAUCCGGUGAAAUUGAAGUACCAGUGAAGAUGCUGGUUACACGCGCCAGGACGGAAAGACCCCAUGGAGCUUUACUCCAGUUUGAUACUGGGAUUCGGUACUGCAUGUACAGGAUAGGUGGGAGACGAAGAAGGAUGGACGCCAGUCUGUCCGGAGUCGCUGUUGGGAUACCACCCCUGUAGUACUGGGUUUCUAACCAGUUGCCAUGAACUGGCAAUGGGACAAUGUCAGGCGGGGAGUUUGACUGGGGCGGUCGCCUCCGAAAGGGUAUCGGAGGCGCUCAAAGGUUCCCUCAGAAUGGUUGGAAACCAUUUGAAGAGUGCAAAGGCAGAAGGGAGCUUGACUGCGACACCGACGGGUGGAGCAGGUACGAAAGUAGGACUUAGUGAUCCGGUGGUAUAAAGUGGGAUUGCCAUCGCUCAACGGAUAAAAGCUACCCUGGGAUAACAGGCUUAUCACUCCCAAGAGUUCACAUCGACGGAGUGGUUUGGCACCUCGAUGUCGGCUCAUCGCAUCCUGGGGCUGUAGCAGGUCCCAAGGGUUGGGCUGUUCGCCCAUUAAAGCGGUACGCGAGCUGGGUUCAGAACGUCGUGAGACAGUUCGGUCCCUAUCCGGCGCGGGCGGAGGAUAUUUGAGAGGAGCUGUCCUUAGUACGAGAGGACCGGGAUGGACGGACCACUGGUGUAUCUGUUGUCGACCAACGGCAUGGCAGAGUAGCCAAGUCUGGAAGGGAUAAACGCUGAAGGCAUCUAAGCGUGAAGCCCCCCUCAAGAUGAGAUAUCCCUCCUUCGGGAGUAAGACCCCUUGAAGACUACAAGGUAGAUAGGGCAGAGGUGGAAGCAUGGCAACAUGUGGAGCUGACUGUUACUAAUAGGUCGAGGGCUUAAUGA
rnacentral:rRNA from 1 species